UGGGGAAUUUUGGACAAUGGGCGCAAGCCUGAUCCAGCCAUUCCGCGUGAGUGAAGAAGGCCUUCGGGUUGUAAAGCUCUUUCGCAAGGGAAGAAAACUUAGGCUCUAACAUAGCCUGAGGUUGACGGUACCUUGAUAAGAAGCACCGGCUAACUACGUGCCAGCAGCCGCGGUAAUACGUAGGGUGCGAGCGUUAAUCGGAAUUACUGGGCGUAAAGCGUGCGCAGGCUGUUCUGUAAGUCAGAUGUGAAAUCCCCGAGCUCAACUUGGGAACUGCGUUUGAAACUACAGGACUAGAAUAUGUCAGAGGGGGGUAGAAUUCCACGUGUAGCAGUGAAAUGCGUAGAGAUGUGGAGGAAUACCAAUGGCGAAGGCAGCCCCCUGGGAUAAUAUUGACGCUCAUGCACGAAAGCGUGGGGAGCAAACA
rnacentral:rRNA from 1 species